UACGAAGGGUGCAAGCGUUAAUCGGAAUUACUGGGCGUAAAGCGCGCGUAGGUGGUUCAGUAAGUCGGAAGUGAAAUCCCCGGGCUCAACCUGGGAACUGCUUUCAAAACUGCUGAGCUAGAGUACGGUAGAGGGUGGUGGAAUUUCCUGUGUAGCGGUGAAAUGCGUAGAUAUAGGAAGGAACACCAGUGGCGAAGGCGACCACCUGGACUGAUACUGACACUGAGGUGCGAAAGCGUGGGGAGCAAACAGG
rnacentral:rRNA from 1 species